CACAAACCAUUAAUAAGCAAUCAACAAAAUGAAGGCUAUCAUUUUUAUUUGCAUUCUCUUUGCUUCCCUUCUUAUCUCAUCCCCUUCAAUUGCAGCUCGCGAACUGGCUGAGACUUAUAAAGGACCUACUGUCGGAACCAAUCCCAACAAGCCAGCAAUAUCAACCUGCGGAAAGCCUGGCAAUCCUCAAUAUAGUUCUUGCAUACGAAAUCCAAAGCGGCCCAUCAAGUCAUGUAGCACAUAUACGCGGCGUAAUUGCAAGCCACCUCAAGGACGACCUUGAAUAUAUCAAUACUACUUUUAUUGUGGUGCGGUGAAAGUAUGAAUAACUAGUACUAAAGUUACAUGAAGUACCAGUAGUACUCAUCAAGUAAUGCUUUGAAAAUAAAUAAAUAGGAUUUGGAUUGAGACCAUUAAUAUUGUAAUGGAGCUGGAUCGAUCGAGCUUCCUUUGCAAUAUGGAAAUAUAUAUGUAAAAUAUGCUACAUCUUGAUCAUAUGCUGCACGUGUGCCAAUAAUUAAUUAAAAAAUCAAGCUGACCGACAUAGUUUUGGUCAGCUAAUUGUUGUGAUCCAAAUACAUUAAGUAUUUAAUAAAUUUUCUUAAUCA